CAAGAUAUAGCUAGUUAGCAAGCCCCUCUUUUACGCGGAGUUGACGUUCGUGCAAAUCGAACUAUCUUGA
rnacentral:tRNA from 1 species